CGCGGCCUAUCAGCUUGUUGGUGAGGUAACGGCUCACCAAGGCAUCGACGGGUAGCUGGUCUGAGAGGACGAUCAGCCACACUGGGACUGAGACACGGCCCAGACUCCUACGGGAGGCAGCAGUAGGGAAUCUUGCGCAAUGGGCGAAAGCCUGACGCAGCAACGCCGCGUGGGGGAUGAAUGCCUUCGGGUUGUAAACCCCUUUCAGCAGGGACGAAAAUGACGGUACCUGCAGAAGAAGCUCCGGCCAACUACGUGCCAGCAGCCGCGGUAAUACGUAGGGAGCGAGCGUUGUCCGGAAUUAUUGGGCGUAAAGAGCUCGUAGGCGGUUCAGUAAGUCGGGUGUGAAAACUCAAGGCUCAACCUUGAGACGCCACUCGAUACUGCUGUGACUUGAGUCCGGUAGAGGAGUGUGGAAUUCCUGGUGUAGCGGUGAAACGCGCAGAUAUCAGGAGGAACACCAGCGGCGAAGGCGGCACUCUGGGCCGGUACUGACGCUGAGGAGCGAAAGCAUGGGGAGCAAACAGGAUUAGAUACCCUGGUAGUCCAUGCCGUAAACGUUGGGCACUAGGUAUGGGAUCAUAUCAACGGAUUCCGUGCCGUAGCUAACGCAUUAAGUGCCCCGCCUGGGGAGUACGG
rnacentral:rRNA from 1 species